AUGGCGAUCGGAGCGCCGGGGUCGUCGCCACAGGCGCGCGACACGAGCAACAUCUUGGAGAACGUGUGGGCAACCAUCAUGACCGAGACGCCGACAGCGUGCACGCCGAUGCCCACGUCCUCGUCGACGGCGUCCACAUCUUUCGUGGAUCAGGCUGGCUCGGAGAUCUUGCAGCGGCUGCCGAGCCUCGGAAGGUGGAUCUCCAUGGGCGCCGACGAGUGGGACGAGUUCCUCAGCGUGGCGGACGCGGCCACACCGCCCGUCGCUGAGCAGCCACCGCUCGCAGCAGCCUCGCCUCGGGGAGAAGGCCAGGAGCAGAGCGCCGCCGUCGGCAAGGUGGCGUUGCCCAAGAGCUACAGGGGGGUGCGGCGGCGGCCGUGGGGCAAGUUCGCGGCGGAGAUCCGGGACACGCGGAGGCGGGGCGCUCGGGUGUGGCUGGGCACGUUCGCCACGGCGGACGAGGCCGCGCUCGCCUACGACGUGGCCGCGCUGCGCAUGCGCGGCCCGCGCGCGCACCUCAACUUCCCGAUCGAGAAGGUGCAGUGCCGCCUCGACCUGGAGCGCGACAACGGUCAGUUCCUGGACGCCGGUGACCAUUCCACGGGCCUGGCGCGCCGAAAGAGGAGAAGGAGGAGCAGUGCCACCGACGCCGAUCAUGCAAGAACUGUCGACGCUGAUCUCACGGCGGUGUAUGGAAAUGGAAGCUCCGAUCAGAUGGUGUCAUUCGCCAGCUCGAGGAGGGACCACGGAACGCCAACGAUGCAAGAUCGGCGCGUGACGAGCGCUGACGUCGGAGGUGCUGUGAAUCGAGCGAUCGAGGUUGAGGAGAUUGGCAUAGAGUAUUGGGACUAUCUGUUCCCGCCUCUGGUAUAG
rnacentral:rRNA from 1 species